rnacentral:piRNA from 1 species
UGGACAGAAUACCAGGUGCACUUCUGCAAU